rnacentral:lncRNA from 1 species
UCCAUCCCUGGGGAAAUGUGUGGCUCACUUGGCAGAAAUCUGGUCACAUCCAGCCCAGAGUGGCCCUGGCAGCUGUGGGGUCCCUCCUGCACAGGGAUCUUUGGGAUUUGUCCCUGAAAACAACUGGGCUGGGACUCAGGGGAGCCCAGUAGGACAUGAAGGAUGAUCCCACCUGGGAUGUUUGUUCUCCUUCGGGUGUGGAACUAUUCCCAGAGCCCCUGACCAGCACUGGAACUCCCAAAAUCCCUCUGGAGAUGGCUCCUCAUCCUUCCUGAGAGCCAGGAAUGCUGAAUUUAUCACUUAUACCCAACAGAUGAGCACUAAAUCCAUCCUUUGCACCCGGACACGAGGGAGAUCCAUGGCACAGCUUCCAUGGAAAAGCAAAACACACCCAGGAUCCCAACAAGGCCCUUUUGUGCUGCUCUGACCAAAACGAAGCAGCACCUUCUGGCUGUCCAGGCUGACAUCCAGGCAGCUGGAAACUCUCAGGAAAACUUGGAAGCUGCCAAGUCACCAUUUCCAGAAUUCCUGCUGCUGCUGCAUCUCCAGGCUCAGAGCCAGCUGGGUUUAUGUGGCACUGGUGGCAGCACAAACUGGCCUUUGGAAAGAUGGAACUUCUCUCCUUAUCCUGCAAAUUUGGUUGAGAAAACUCCACAUCUAAAAGCAGCCAAAGCUGCUGCUUCAGGAAUAACUGGAAUGUCCCCUCCGUGCCCCUGAUUCCUUUCACGUCCCUCAAGGUUAUGAUUUUUUAAAUUAUAAUUAAAAAAACCAGCUCAUCUUAAGAGGAUCACUGAAAUGCCAGCUGUGAAUUGUGAUUCCUGCCUGGAUUGCCAUUUUCUGGAUGGGUUUGAAGUCAUGGAAAGGGGAGCUUUGGGAAGUUGAGCUACAACAGGACCUGGCUGUGGUCCCCUGGUGCAGGAAGCCACCCUUGGCUUGGUGGCUGCUCAGGGGAGGAAUGACCUUCCAGCCCUGCUGGGCAUCCCUUGGUCUCAUCCUGCUCCUAAAUCCCUCUGGAAAAGAAACCUCACCCUCUGGAAGCUGAUCCUUGAGAAAAUCCCGUGGGACUGGCAACCCUGGAAGUGCCAAUUGGGGUUUUGUUACAGAAGGAAAGCAAAAUGGGGUUUUUUCCUC